GACAGAGGGUGCAAGCGUUGUUCGGAAUUAUUGGGCGUAAAGGGCGCGUAGGCGGCUGAGCAAGUCGAAUGUGAAAUCCCUGGGCUUAACCCAGGAAGUGCAUUUGAUACUGCUCAACUUGAGUCCCGGAGAGGGUGGUGGAAUUCCCAGUGUAGAGGUGAAAUUCGUAGAUAUUGGGAGGAACACCGGUGGCGAAGGCGGCUCUCUGGACCGAUACUGACGCUGAGGCGCGAAAGCGUGGGGAGCAAACAGG
rnacentral:rRNA from 1 species